GUUCCAGUGGGUAGUGACUCGCAAAAUGUGGUCCAGCCGCCUUUCCAGCAACCCAUGCUGGUCCCUGUGAGCCAGUCUGUGCAAGGAGGCCUCCCAGCAGCGGGGGUACCAGUGUACUAUAGCAUGAUCCCACCUGCUCAGCAGAACGGUACGAGCCCUUCUGUAGGGUUUCUGCAACCCCCUGGCUCUGAGCAGUACCAAAUGUCUCAGUCUCCCUCUCCCUGCAGUCCACCACAGAUGCCACAGCAGUACUCAGGAGUGUCACCUUCUGGACCAGGUGUAGUGGUCAUGCAGCUGAAUGUCCCUAAUGGACCCCAGCCCCCUCAGAACCCAUCCAUGGUCCAGUGGAGUCAUUGUAAAUACUACAGCAUGGACCAGCGGGGGCAGAAGCCUGGAGACCUGUACAGUCCUGACAGCAGCCCCCAGGCCAACACACAAAUGAGCAGCAGCCCUGUCACAUCUCCUACCCAGUCUCCAGCACCCUCUCCUGUCACCAGCCUCAGCAGUGUCUGCACAGGACUCAGUCCCCUGCCUGUCCUCACACAGUUCCCCCGGCCUGGGGGUCCAGCACAGGGUGAUGGGCGCUACUCCCUUUUGGGCCAGCCAUUACAGUACAAUCUGUCCAUCUGCCCUCCAUUGCUCCAUGGCCAGUCAACUUACACGGUGCACCAGGCAGACAUUGUGAUGCAAGGCAGUCAAUGUUGUUUACAUGGGAUGAGAUUCGUCUUUCAAAUGUUGAAGGGACAGAGUGGAUUGAAGCAUGGAAACCGGGGCAAGAGACAAGCACUCAAAUCUGCCUCCA
rnacentral:sRNA from 1 species